GCCAGGAGUGGUGGCACGCACCUGUAGUCCCUACUACUUGGGAAGCUGAAGUGGGAAGAUUGCUUGAGCCCAGGAGUUCUGGGUUAUGAUGACUGUCUGCACUAAGCUUGGCAUCAAUAUGGUGACCUCUUGGGAGUGGGGGACCACCAGGUUACCUAAGAAGAGGUGAAUCAGCCCAGGUCGGAAACCAAGCAGGUCAAAACUCAUGGGCUGAUCAGUAGUAAGGUCACCCCUGUGAAAAGCCACUGUAAUCCAGCCUGAGCAACACAGUGAGACCCU
ensembl:misc_RNA Metazoa_SRP Metazoan signal recognition particle RNA